rnacentral:misc_RNA from 1 species
GAAAUGCGAUAAUUAAUGUGAAUUGCAGAAUUCAGUGAAUCAUCGAGUCUUUGAACGCACAUUGUGCCCCCUGGUAUUCCGGGGGGCAUGCCUGUCCGAGCGUCAUUGCUGCCCUCAAGCACGGCUUGUGUGUUGGGCUUCCGUCCCUGGCAACGGGGACGGGCCCAAAAGGCAGUGGCGGCACCAUGUCUGGUCCUCGAGCGUAUGGGGCUUUGUCACCCGCUCCCGUAGGUCCAGCUGGCAGCUAGCCUCGCAACCAAUCUUUUUAACCAGGUUGACCUCGGAUCAGGUAGGGAUAUCCGCUGAACUUAAGC